AUUGAACGCUGGCGGCAGGCCUAACACAUGCAAGUCGAGCGAGGGGCGGACGGGAGAGUAAUGUAUGGGGAUCUGCGUGAUGGAGGGGGAUAACUUGUGGAAACGGUAGCUAAUACCGAAUACCAUGAGAUGAACCCAUAUGGGAUUAGCUGGUAGGUAGGGGAAAGGCUUACAUAGGCGACGAUCCCUAUCUGGUAUGAGAGGAUGAUCAGCCACACUUGGACUGAGACACGGCCCAGACUCCUACGGGAGGCAGCAGUGGGGAAUAGUGCGCAAUGGGCGCAAGCCGGAUGCAGCCAUGCCGCGUGUAUGAAGAAGGCCUUCGGGUUGUAAAGUACUUUCAGUCGGGAGGCGUUACCGACAGAAGAAGCACCGGCUAACUCCGUGCCAGCAGCCGCGGUAAUUC
rnacentral:rRNA from 1 species